AGUUUGGUCGAAUUAAAAGAGAGAGGACGACCAGAUGAACGCAGAUUUCCCGGCUGCUGGAGGAGGGACGGUGGAUGUUCAAUCUUUGGAAAAGUAAAACCAGAGGGUCCACAUACACCAAACCCUAAACUGCUGUCUCUGGUCCAAAAAAUGAAGGAAAUCCAACAACUCCUUUCAGAGAACUGAAGACAGACAUGAAAAACCUGCAUCUUCUCUUCAAGAAAGCUUCUCUCUUUUGCUUUGCCGUUUACCAUCUUGGUGACAAUUAUCAAUCUUUACAAAAACAAUACUCCUGCUUUACUCCUGUGCUAAAGAAAAAAGAGCCUGCAAACCAUAAAUUUACCAAACAUUGAAUUUUUCAACUUUUUUUUCAUAUAAAAGUUAAGAAGCGUAUUUUGCUAUUUUAUCAUAAAUUUCCUACAGGGACUUAACAUUGUUGUUAUUCUUUGCUUUGGGUGCAGUUCUACUUAAAAUAAAAGGUUAAUCCAGCCAUGGCUACUCUAAAUCAUGUUUGAGGCUACUGUAGCUUGUUAGCUAUUACAGAAACAGGACAGAAGAAUUGGAGAAUGAAACUAACAUCACAUUGAUUAUUAAGAUUUGCAGUUUUCUGAUAUUUGGUUAAAAAUCUGCUCAGUAAAUGUUUUAGUUUUGUAUUUACAGAUGCUCUGAUAAAUUGCCUACAGAUGUCUUCUACUAUUAGGAUGGAUUAUUAGGUAAUAUUUCACUCCAAGUGCUGUUGAUUAUAAAGUUGUUUGCUAACGAAAUAAAGUUUUUGAAAUAAGAACAA